rnacentral:miRNA from 1 species
CCUUGUCACACAUUCGUCACAGU